AAAUAAAAUAAAAAAGAAUAAUAGAAACAGAUAAGAGGAAUAGGAAAUGAAAGGUAAAGUAAGAACAGGUCUUCAAUUAGAAAUGGUGGGCAUCGUCGAGCGCCUUUUUCAAUGAGUUUCUUCGAGACAGCCACCACUUCAAUUGGAGUGCUUGUUUGAUUUUUAAAAAUGGCUUUGUUUUUGGUCUUCCAUACAUUCUAACACUGGCAAGCUAGCAGGUCUAUUUUUCUCUCUCCACCAUGACCACCACGUAGGGAUGCUGAUGAAGCUUUCUACUAUGCUCAGAUGCUUGAGAACUGAUUGGCAUCUCUGCAGAUUGGACGUGUUGUGGAGAUCCUUUGGUGUAGUUGUGAAAGAAUAUAGAGCCGUUCAUGCAAGCACUUCCAAAUAAAAAUCUGGACCUUAUGAGAAAUUUUUUGUUUUUAGAUCUUUGACAUAGGCAACUUGAAAGGACUACGUGCCAUAGCUGGAAGAAUACUCACGGGGUAAGGAGGAGGUAGCCACGCAUAUAAAAAAAAUAUGAAUUGAAGUUCUAGAAUCAACUCUUCAAUGGAGGCCCUUUUCAACUAGUUUUUGGCCCUCCAACAUACUACACCAUUCCCAGGAAGGCAUUCUUUCAUGAGAAGCUCAAGAUCAGAUGGUAUUUGAGAUGAAUAAGAAGAUGGUGGCUCUUAAUAUGCAUAAGAAGGAGAUGAUGGUUCUUGAUAAGUGUAAAAAGAGGAUGGUUCUUGGUAUGAAUAGGGAGAUGGUGGCUCUUGAUAUGGAUAGAAAGAUGAUGAUUCUUGGUAGUUGGAACAUGAAGCAUUGAAAUUUCUUUGGUUUUGACUUUGCCAACCAAAAUUUGGAUAGUUCCUCCAUCCACCAUAAUAUGAAUCACUACUCGGGUGUGAGUAGUAACCCAUGUGAUCUCUCUCCAUUAUUUUUCCUUAGCACACAACACCAAACAGGAUUAAACACACCAUGUGGUUGACAAGCAAGUAAAGAAGAAAGAGCAUAAAGAAGAUUUAAACUCAAUAGCCAAGGGGAUACCAAACUUAAUUUCAGAAUUUUUUUUUGUAUAUU